GUCUUCGUAGAGUACGAACUCGCUCCCAUCCAAUAAAAUGGAGAACUGAUGAUUUAUGGGAGGGUUGGUGGUUCGAAUCCACCCGAAGACA